rnacentral:rRNA from 1 species
GUCACGGCCAUCCCACGUUGAAAGCACCGGUUCUCGGCCAGUCACCGAGGUUAAGCAACGUCGGGCGUAGUUACUACCUAGAUGGGAGACCGCUUAAGAACACUGCGUGCUGUUGACU